rnacentral:tRNA from 1 species
GGCGCAAUCGACUAGUGGUUUAGGUCGCCACAUUCUCUGUGUGGAAACGUAGGUUUGAAUCCUGCUUGCGCUA